rnacentral:rRNA from 1 species
AUUGAACGCUGGCGGAAUGCUUUACACACGCAAGUCGAACGGCAGCACGGACUUCGGUCUGGUGGCGAGUGGCGAACGGGUGAGUAACAUAUCGGAACGUAUCCAAUAAUGGGGGAUAACGAGUCGAAAGAUUAGCUAAUACCGCAUACGCCCUACGGGGGAAAGCUGGGGAACUUCGGGCCUGGCGUUAAUGGAGCGGCCGAUAUCUGAUUAGGGAGUUGGUGAGGUAAAGGCUCACAAAGGCGACGAUCAGUAGCUGGUCUGAGAGGACGACCAGCCACACUGGAACUGAGACACGGUCCAGACUCCUACGGGAGGCAGCAGUGGGGAAUUUUGGACAAUGGGCGCAAGCCUGAUCCAGCCAUUCCGCGUGAGUGAAGAAGGCCUUCGGGUUGUAAAGCUCUUUCGCAAGGGAAGAAAACUUAGCCACUAACAUUGGUUGAGGUUGACGGUACCUUGAUAAGAAGCACCGGCUAACUACGUGCCAGCCGCCGCCGUAA